CCCCCCGCCGAGGAUCAUCUGCGUGUACGUCAACCGAGAGGACGCCACGUUGGUCGUCGUCUUCUCCCGCCCUGUUGUGGUGAGCCCGGAUGGCCCGGACCUGACGGCGACCCUGGAUGGCUCCGCCCUGGAAGGGGCGUGGCGCUCAGGGGAAGGGUGGCCACGCCCCAGCCACACCUGGCUCCUGGACCUGCCCCGACCUGCAGAGGCCCCGCCCACCGAGCAGCCACGCCUCCAGCUGGGCGUCACCUGGGAGC